CCUACGGGAGGCAGCAGUGGGGAAUAUUGGACAAUGGGCGAAAGCCUGAUCCAGCAAUGCCGCGUGAGUGAUGAAGGCCUUCGGGUCGUAAAGCUCUUUUACCAGGGAUGAUAAUGACAGUACCUGGAGAAUAAGCUCCGGCUAACUCCGUGCCAGCAGCCGCGGUAAUACGGAGGGAGCUAGCGUUGUUCGGAAUUACUGGGCGUAAAGAGUACGUAGGCGGUUAUUCAAGUCAGAGGUGAAAGCCCGGGGCUCAACCCCGGAACUGCCUUUGAAACUAGAUAACUAGAGUCUUGGAGAGGUUAGUGGAAUUCCGAGUGUAGAGGUGAAAUUCGUAGAUAUUCGGAAGAACACCAGUGGCGAAGGCGACUAACUGGACAAGUACUGACGCUGAGGUACGAAAGCGUGGGGAGCAAACAGGAUUAGAUACCCUGGUAGUCCACGCCGUAAACGAUGAUAACUAGUUGUUCGGUCACUUGGUGACUGAGUGACGCAGCUAACGCAUUAAGUUAUCCGCCUGGGGAUACGGUCGCAAGNUUAAAACUCAAAUGAAUUGACCGGNNGAGAGNGCGAGACGACACGAGGAGAG
rnacentral:rRNA from 1 species